rnacentral:lncRNA from 1 species
AGACCUCCGAGCUCCCGUCCCCGGGAGGGUGACAACCGCCAGCCGGCCCACCUCCUCAGUCCCCAUUGGCUACAAGGCGCCACUGCCGCGCUAUGGCUGGGGCUUCCCAGCCAGAGCAGGAGAAUGACGGCCGCUCCCUCCCGCGCCGGAAAGGAGGCAUCACCCUGCACGUUCCCCACGUAAGGAGCGCGCGGUCACGCGUGGUGGCACAGUGCCAAGCCAGAGUGGGUGGGGUGUGGGACACGAUCUGGAGGGGACCAGAGGACAGAUCCAGGACACCACAAACUGGAGAACGCGAACGGAGCCACACCCCUUCCUCGGAGAUUAGGGCUCGUCCCCCACCCCUCCCAUCCUCCCUGUUGGGGAAGCACACAAGUGGGCGUGGAAAGAGAGCGGAAGCCGAAACUAGGCGGCUUCACAGAUCUUGCACUGGGUCCCUGUGCCUGCCUGCCAUCGAGGAUCCAAAAUCUAAGGAUGAUGCUCGGAGUCCCACCACAGCCUGUCAGAGUUCACAUAGCGAAACCCAAAGCGCCUGCCCCUGUGACAUCAUCUGAAUUCAGCCACCCUCACUACCGCCACCAGCCCAGGAUAAGGAUCAUAUUUCCAGUCUCCUUUGCAGCUACCCGGCCACUGGACCAAUCUCCAACCAGGCAGAUAAAGGGAUGGAAGUUAGAGUCUCGCCUGGCGACUUCCGGUAACAGCUUUGUGCCACUUUCCCUAGAACGAUCCUCCUGCCUCCUUCCUGCCAGCUCCAUGGAUUGUAAAAUCACGUUGGGCGUGGCAGCCAGACAGAAUAAAGCACCAAAUUAAAACAGGUGCCAGUGUCCCCAUGUCAUGCAGAGUCAGCAAGGCACUCUGCACCAGCCCCAGCCCCACACUUCCUAUCUCCAGGUUUCUAAAAUAAAGAGAAAAAUGAAAUUGCCCUGUGCCCCAAACUGUGGCUAUUUGAGGGUUUUCUAUUACAAGUAGGCGAACUCAUUCCUAGCCAGUAUAGAGGCUAAGCGGCCAAGGGGUAAGGGGAAUCGUCUCAAGCAGGAUGGACAGGAAGGUAUCCCCGAGGGUGUGACAUUUGGGCAGAACAAAAGGAGGGAGAAGCCAAGCUGUGUGGGCAAGGGUGUCCCAGGCAGAACUUGCUCCCUGUCACCUAAGCUGGCAACCCAAGCCUUGUCCCCAGGCACCUUCUGUUCUACAGGCCACGUCUCACCUGUCACCAGAACAGAGUUCAGAACAAAGGAAACCAACUAAGGACACACACUCCCAGUCUCACCUCUCAGGCUGCCUUCUGCAGUCUGGCCCACAAAGGGUUAAACUGCUCCCCCCCCCAGCCCCCCCCCCCCCAAAGAGCUCUGUGAUGGAGCCUGGGGCCUUGUCUGGAAAACUGAUCUUGUGGGUUCUUUUAGUUCUGUAAGUCUGUGGUACUUUGUUAGGGAAUCCUUAAAGGAGAGGUUUCCUUUCAGGGAUAUGGUCUGACUGUGUAGCCCAGACUGGGCUCGAACUCACAAUCUUCCUGCCUGAGCCUCCAAGGGCUGGGGCUCUGUGAAGGUUAUGUUUUAUUGAGAUGUAAACUCACAUAUUACAUAAUUUAACCAUC